CUAAUGCACACUGGAGGUUUACCUGUUAUUGUGCAGCAGCAGCUGGGACUUACCCCUAACCAAUUUAAAUACUACCUGAUCAUACUUUAAUCGUCGGAUAUUGGCACAGAGAUUCUGGAGAAAUUCUUUGAAAACUAGAAACCUUACAACCGUCCCUGGUUUAUUGUGGAUAAAUCAUCUGAUCAUGAAGCUCAACAAGAAACUGAACAAAUACAAGCUCAAAGCAGACAUGAGUGAAACCCAGCGUUCCCACUCCCAUUCCCCAAAUGUCAGUGCCAAAUGCAGUUCAGGAGACCUAUAAGCUGAGCGGCAAACAUAAUUGACAAUGUAUGGAUCUGCCAGGUCACUGGUUGCCGUGGUUUCACCUGAGCACCUCAGUGACCUUUACGACAGAAGGUCAGAUAAAGAGUAAGAAAAUUGUGCCGACAAUUUUAAUUAGUUGACAUCCUAAAUCAAGUAAAAUAGUAUCUAUAGACCAAUAUGAAAAUGAGACAGAAAAGUGUUGAGUGGAUGUAUGACCAACCCAUGAAUUACUUACUAUUUUUAUAUUAUUCUCCACGAGUCAUUUUCUUGUUGUGAAUAAUAAUGAAUCUGAUCUGAGGCGACUGCUAUUCGAUAAACUUUUAUCCCUAACCCUUAGAUAGAGUUUUCUAAGAGAUAGUUCCUCUGUUAACAGUGUGACUCAGUAUGCAACUAUCAUAAAGUGCAUGUACACCACACACCCCUUUGAAAAUGUAAUGUAAA